CAGUAAGAUCAAAGCAAAAUGUCUGAUAAUUUUUCUUUUACAGAGUUUCCUUCUUUUCCUCCUUGUAUUUUCAGACAUGCUUCUGCAUUUGGAGGUCACCCUAAGCUGUUCUUUGGAGAAAGCUGACAUGGAAGCCUUGAUAGCAUUAAAGCGAUCCCAAAAGGGAUUAGGAUCAGAUCUGAGGGCAAAAUUUCUGCUUCAAUCAAGCUGGACUGUUCCACUGCUUUUGUUUUGCAUACAAGAACUCAAGAUGUGAAGCCAGUGUGGCAGAAGCAGCUCUGCAAUAAACGCUGACGAGGACGACUUCACUAAGCAUUUGGCUUUUUCUUCUUUGAGAUAACAUGUGGUAAUAGAAAUAAAUCAGACCUAGAAAGACAGAUCGCUUCCCAGCCUUUCACUUAGCAAAAUGGACUUAUCCUGCAAUGGGACGUUUUUCACCAAAACCACUUGUUUGUAUGCAUCUGCACUGAGUGUGUACUCUCGUUGAAUCUGAGUCCACAGGCAGAAGUGGACACCACGUCAGAGGAUCCUAAAAGAGCUAAAUGAAGCACAAAAUGUUCCAGGAGUGCCUGACUCACAGUAAAUGGCAGCCAGUCUUUGCUGAGGGCAGCAGUCAUGAGACUAUGGCCUAGAAAGCGAGGAAAAGAAACACUAAUGGCCUGGAAACGUAUGGCUUGGAAAGAAACAUUGCUCACAAAAGGAGCAGAAACAUCUUCCCUCCACCCCACUGAGUCUCCAGAAAGAAUUCUUCUUUUCAUUGUGUUCAUCCUGCAUUGCUGACACCCUCAUGAAAUCAUGAAUUUACAUCAGCCAAGUUCCUCGGUGAAAGAAAUUAACAUACUGGACUGUUUUGCAAGGUAAAGUAGUGGGUGUGUACCUGAAAAUGAAUGAAACAACACAGAGAAUACACGUUUUAGACUCUAUGAACCAUGGCUCAGACUGUGUGUUGAAUAGUUUUGAAUGAUGAAGUAGCCUGUUGUUAUUAGAUUGAUGUUUAUUACCUGGUGAAACCCCUACAGCUAUAUUAAUUGCAUAAGAACACAUAUUAAACCUGUUGAUAGGCAGAAAACAA